GAUGAACGCUGGCGGCGUGCCUAACACAUGCAAGUCGAGCGAUCUUCUUCGGAAGAGAGCGGCGGACGGGUGAGUAACGCGUGGGUAACCUGCCCUGUACACACGGAUAACAUACCGAAAGGUAUGCUAAUACGAGAUAAUAUGCUUUUAUCGCAUGGUAGAAGUAUCAAAGCUCCGGCGGUACAGGAUGGACCCGCGUCUGAUUAGCUAGUUGGUAAGGUAACGGCUUACCAAGGCGACGAUCAGUAGCCGACCUGAGAGGGUGAUCGGCCACAUUGGAACUGAGACACGGUCCAAACUCCUACGGGAGGCAGCAGUGGGGAAUAUUGCACAAUGGGCGAAAGCCUGAUGCAGCAACGCCGCGUGAGCGAUGAAGGCCUUCGGGUCGUAAAGCUCUGUCCUCAAGGAAGAUAAUGACAGUACUUGAGGAGGAAGCCCCGGCUAACUACGUGCCAGCCGCCGCCGUAAAAC
rnacentral:rRNA from 1 species